GCGGAGGAAAAGAAACCAACAGGGAUUGCCUUAGUAACGGCGAGUGAAGCGGCAACAGCUCAAAUUUGAAAUCUGGCUCCUUCGGGGUCCGAGUUGUAAUUUGCAGAGGAUGCUUCGAGUUAUGGUUCCUUCCGAGUUCCCUGGAACGGGACGCCAUAGAGGGUGAGAGCCCCGUCUGGUAGGAAACCAUGCUCAUGUGAAGCUCCCUCGACGAGUCGAGUAGUUUGGGAAUGCUGCUCUAAGGGGAGGUAUACUCCUUCCAAGGCUAAAUACCGGCUAGAGACCGAUAGCGCACAAGUAGAGUGAUCGAAAGAUGAAAAGUACUUUGAAAAGAGAGUCAAACAGCACGUGAAAUUGUUAAAAGGGAAGCGCUCGCUACCAGACGUGGGUUCGGUGGUUCAACCAGGUCCAUGACCUGGGGCACUCCGCCGGCCCAGGCCAGCAUCAGCUUUCCGUCGGGGGCAAAGGCGUCGGGAAUGUGGCUCUCCUUCGGGGGAGUGUUAUAGCCCGUCGCGUCAUACCCUUCGGGGGGCUGAGGUACGCGCUCCGCAAGGAUGCUGGCGUAAUGGUAGCUAGUGACCCGUCUUGAAACACGGACCAAGGAGUCAACCUUAUGUGCGAGUGCCCGGGCGUAAAACCCCAGCGCGGAAUGAAAGUGAACGUAGGUGAGAGCUUCGGCGCAUCACCGACCGAUCCUGAUGUCCUCGGACGGAUUUGAGUGAGAGCAUAUAGGGUUGGACCCGAAAGAAGAUGAACUAUGCGUGUGUAGGGUGAAUCCAGAGGAAACUCUGGUGGAGGCUCGCAGCGGUUCUGACGUGCAAAUCGA
rnacentral:misc_RNA from 2 species